GCCUGGGAAAACGCGCGAGAACCCGACGGCCUCCGGAGCCGUGUGCGCAGGUUCGAAUCCUGCCGGGGGCA
rnacentral:tRNA from 1 species